rnacentral:tRNA from 1 species
GCGCCGUGGCCUACUGGUUAGCGCUUCGGACUUGUAACCGGAGGGUUGCCGGUUCGAACCCCGACCAGUAGGCA